AACAAAAAACCAACCAUCCCAUUUGUUCACAAAUUCAAUCAAUCAAUGAUUUAUAUUGUAUUCAUUUCAAAUUCGAUAUAUAUUAUGACGUUUUGCAUUUGAACUUGACAAACAACAAACGUCUCGACUUUCCAAAUCUUCAACUUUCCAAAUGCGAAUUUAUCGUUUCUAGGUAGAAACAUUCCAACGCACCUGCAUAUGGAGUUUAUAUCUCCCAUUCGACAUUCCAGCGCUCGCGUUUCCUAUCAUUAUUUCUUGGACCUAGGACAACUGCUUACAAGGAAGCUUUUGAACCAGGGGUAAAGGGUUACAGUUGUUCAAAGUCACUUCCGUCGAAACUUUUUGAACGCCAUCUUGAGUUUUUACCAUUGUGAAAUAUCUGUGCCAUUAUUGACCACGGAUAUGUUCCAGCUGUCGAAACUACAAUCAAGUCCUCUUUCCCUCUAUUUUGACAUCACCAAAUGAAACUCACCAUCGAAUUGUUUCUUAACAUGAGUAACUAGUGGAAUAGAAUUAUCCAUCUUGGGGAUCUGGUAUCACCCCCUGUUUUAGCUCAGUUCAUAUUGUUCAGUAUUUUUUCUAUAUAUGGUUUGAUGUACUUGUUUAUCCUUUUGUCGUCUUUCGUCUUUUUUGCGUGGCGUUGUCAGUUUACCUUCGAUCAAUGAAUUUUGAAUAUCCCCUUGAUGUCUUUUGCCUCUUUUUCACAAGAUAGUUCUUGAUUAAAGCUAUUAUAUAGUAAUUAAACAAAUGAAGUCAUCAUGCUCAUUCCUUGCUACGUACAGAAAAAAAAUCGAACAGUUUUUAGUUAAUUCUUGGCAAAAACUAUGGUGAGUUAUUUUUGUUUUUAUAAAAAAGCAAUAUUCAAAAAUGUUAUCAACGAUGAUCGAUUCUUCAUUUGUAAAAAAAAGUAAAUAUUAUCUACAAACAUCAUUUACGAUACAAAACAACCAUAAGAACUUAGGAAAAUUUUACAACAUAUACAUGUGGAUAAAACAUACUCCGGUAUGAGAUUUGCUCAUUUUUG
rnacentral:lncRNA from 1 species